AGUGAACGCUGGCGGUGUGCCUAACACAUGCAAGUCGAACGGCAACACAGUAAGAUUUCGCCUCUACCGGUGGCGACUGACGGGCGGGUGACGCAUACAUCGCCUACCUCUAUUUCUGGGGUGACAUCGUAGGACCGCUUCUGCUAACACAGCAUAUAUUCAACGGCAUAAAUCAGUAGUUCAUCACACUUUUCGUGUCUCUUAUAGCUGAAUCCGGAUUAGCUUGUUGGCAGGGUAAGGUCCCACCAAGGCAACGAUGCGUAGCUGGUCUGAGAGGAUGAUCGGCCACACUGGAACUGAGACACGGUCCAGACUCCUACGGGAGGCAGCAGUGGGGAAUAUUGGGCAAUGGGCGCAAGCCUGAUGGAGCAAUGCCGCGUGAGUGAAGAAGGCCUUCGGAUUGUAAAGCCCUGUUGUUAGGAAAGAAAAACAGCGGAAUAAACCACGGCUGUUCUGACGGUACCCAAAGAGAAAGCACCGGCUAACUUCGUG
rnacentral:rRNA from 1 species